rnacentral:rRNA from 1 species
GGUGAACGCUGGCGGCGUGCUUAAGACAUGCAAGUCGAACGGGCUCUUCGGAGCCAGUGGCGCACGGGUGAGUAACGCGUAACUGACCUACCCCAAAGUCGCGGAUAACGAUUCGAAAGAAUCGCUAAUACGUGAUGUGCUGUCAGAUCCUGUUCUGCCAGUAAAGAUUUAUUGCUUUGGGAUGGGGUUGUGUUCCAUCAGCUAGUUGGUGGGGUAAAGGCCCACUAAGGCGACGACGGAUCGCCGGCCUGAGAGGGUGGCCGGCCACAGGGGCACUGAGACACGGGUCCCACUCCUACGGGAGGCAGCAGUUAGGAAUCUUCCACAAUGGGCGAAAGCCUGAUGGAGCGACGCCGCGUGAGGGAUGAAGGUCCUCGGAUCGUAAACCUCUGAAUCAGGGACGAAAGACGCGAAAGCGGGAUGACGGUACCUGAGUAAUAGCACCGGCUAACUCCGUG